CCUGGUACAGAGAGCGCUGCCAUUGGUGCGUAUGUGGUAGAGGGAGGGCUGGGCGGCAUCGAUCUUCUGUUUCCUCUUCCCUUUAUGAACGAUGAACUUCCUCUUGAAGUGAGACAGGAACUUGAGGUUCUCCUGCUGCUGAGUCAUACGGACCACCUACAGAGAACAGAUAUAUUAGGAACCGACUCUACAAAACAUUAGGAACCUCCAGUUUCCCAGGAAGAGGGAUGUCUAGUCCUACUGUGUGUGUGUGUACCUCCAGUUUCCCAGGGAAGAGGGAUGUCUAGUCCUACUGUGUGUGUGUGUACCUCCAGUUUCCCAGGGACGAGGGAUGUCUAGUCCUACUGUGUGUGUGGAUGUGUGUGUGUACCUCCAGUUUCCCAGGGAAGAGGGAUGUGUGUGUGUGUGUGUGUGUGUACCUCCAGUUUCCCAGGGACGAGGGAUGUCUAGUCCUACUGUGUGUGUGUGUGUGUGUGUGUGUGUGUGUGUGUGUACCUCCAGUUUCCCAGGGAAGAGGGAUGUGUGUGUGUGUGUGUGUUUUCCCAGGGACGAGGGAUGUCUAGUCCUACUGUGUGUGUGUGUG
ensembl:lncRNA